AACGAACGCUGGCGGCAUGCCUAACACAUGCAAGUCGAACGAGACCUUCGGGUCUAGUGGCGCACGGGUGCGUAACGCGUGGGAACCUGCCCUUAGGUUCGGAAUAACUCCCCGAAAGGGGUGCUAAUACCGGAUAAUGUCUUCGGACCAAAGAUUUAUCGCCUUUGGAUGGGCCCGCGUUGGAUUAGCUAGUUGGUAGGGUAAAAGCCUACCAAGGCGACGAUCCAUAGCUGGUCUGAGAGGAGGAUCAGCCACACUGGGACUGAGACACGGCCCAGACUCCUACGGGAGGCAGCAGUGGGGAAUAUUGGACAAUGGGCGAAAGCCUGAUCCAGCAAUGCCGCGUGAGUGAUGAAGGCCUCAGGGUUGUAAAGCUCUUUUACCCGGGAUGAUAAUGACAGUACCGGGAGAAUAAGCUCCGGCUAACUCCGUG
rnacentral:rRNA from 1 species